rnacentral:rRNA from 1 species
GGGUCAGUAGGUUGGUCGUGCCACCGGUACGUACUGGUCUCACUGUUUCCUCCUUCCUGAAGAACCGUAAUGCCAUUAAUUGGGUGUUGCGGGGAAACAGGACUGUUACUUUGAAAAAAUUAGAGUGUUUAAAGCAAGCUAACGCUUGAAUACAUUAGCAUGGAAUAAUGAAAUAGGACGAUCGAUCCUAUUUUGUUGGUUUCUAGGAUUGACGUA